CUGCUGUGCUAGAAUUUUUACCUUUUCCUGUCUCAAGAGAGACAUCAUGGAAUCCAAGACAGAGUAUGAACACUGAAUUCAGACAAAUAUGGGCUUUUCCAUUUAAAAAUGAUGUGACUCUGGGCAAACUCCAUGUCUUCUAUAGGACUCAACUGCCUCAUCUGGAGAAGCAGAUAGCACUGCUUACAAAUUAUGGUGUUUCCAGCAGUCUGAGAUGGCGAGACGUUCCCACUUGUGUUCUUACUACUCUCCAAGCAUAUUUUACACAAUCCUGGCUGUGUGGUUUUGUUCAGACACUGCACAUCUGCUUUAAUUACUAAAGAAAAUGACACAUCGACCUGAAGUAAAGAAUGUCCAUGUUAAAACGAAGGAUUACAAGUUCCCCUUCCUGAGACACCAAAGAUUGUGCUUCCCUUCCAGGCACCAGGGUCAUACUGACCCACUGUGGACAUGUCGGGUUUCUUUUUUUUGGGAAAUCUUGAAGAUAUGUAUCCCUGACUUGUUUAAAGUUUGUUCUGACAAGAUAUAAAACUGUGCUGAAAACCAGGCUUCUUGGGAGCAGUUUCUCAGAGUAACCUGGGAAGUUG